GGGUUGUGAGGUUAAGCGACUAAGCGUACACGGUGGAUGCCCUGGCAGUCAGAGGCGAUGAAGGACGUGCUAAUCUGCGAAAAGCGUCGGUAAGGUGAUAUGAACCGUUAUAACCGGCGAUGUCCGAAUGGGGAAACCCAGUGCAAUUCGUUGCACUAUCGUUAACUGAAUACAUAGGUUAACGAGGCGAA
rnacentral:rRNA from 1 species